rnacentral:rRNA from 1 species
UACAGGGGGUGCAAACGUUGCUCGGAAUCAUUGGGCGUAAAGCGCACGUAGGCGGUCUGUUAUGUCAGAUGUGAAAGCCCUUGGCUUAACUGAGGAAGUGCAUCCGAAACUGGCAGGCUAGAGUACUAAAGAGGGUCGCGGAAUUCCUGGUGUAGCGGUGAAAUGCGCAGAUAUCAGGAGGAACACCGGUGGCGAAGGCGGUUCUCUGGGCCUUACCUGACACUGAGGAGCGAAAGCGUGGGGAGCGAACAGG